CGCGCUAGGCACUUUGUUACCUUUGUACGCCUUGCAGAUGUAGCUUAUGAAGUUUUCAUAAUCCUGCAGUGAACACAAAAAAAAACUGAGCAUCUUCUCCUGAAGACACUUCACUUCUCAUUAGCUAACUACGGCGGCUACGACAAAACCCUGAUUCUGAACUGCCAUAUGCCCAAUUCCCUAGAGAAACUUAAUCCAAGGUUUUGCACAACCACAUUCCAAAUCAACCAUAAAUCUUAAUGAAUAUAGAGAUAUCAAUUCACAGCACAGAGAAUAAGAGAGUGUAAUAACAAGAAUUCAGCAGGUUUUAAGAAGAAACAAAGUAAACGAACCUCAUAAAGUGGCUGACCAUUUACUACAACCCAAGGCACGUAUUUAUGAGGCGGCUCAAGUGCACUCGUUUCGGCAGCAUAUUGCAACUGAAGCUGCAGCAAGUUG